GGGUAAUCUGGUUGUGACAUCUGUAGCCCAUUGAUCACCAGGGUUGACCUGGGCUUAUAUGCCUAGCUAAGCAGGUGUUCCCUUCCUUGUUCACUGCUGUACUGAAGAGGAUGACCUCCAUGAACAGAGGACUCUCUUCAGCCAUGGAUUUAAGUGUAGCUGUGUCUCUAUGCAACAGCCUUAAAAGAAGUUCUCGGGCUGAAGAGAUGGUUCAGAAGUUAAGAGCACUGUCUGCUCUUCUAAAGGUGAGUUCAAUUCCCAGCAACUACAUGGUGGCUCACAACCAUCUAUAAUGAGAUCUGAU
rnacentral:snRNA from 1 species